CGCGGCCUAUCAGCUUGUUGGUGGGGUAACGGCCCACCAAGGCGACGACGGGUAGCCGGCCUGAGAGGGCGACCGGCCACACUGGGACUGAGACACGGCCCAGACUCCUACGGGAGGCAGCAGUGGGGAAUAUUGCACAAUGGGCGAAAGCCUGAUGCAGCGACGCCGCGUGGGGGAUGAAGGCCUUCGGGUUGUAAACCUCUUUCGACCUCGACGAAGCGGAAGUGACGGUAGGGGUAGAAGAAGCACCGGCCAACUACGUGCCAGCAGCCGCGGUAAUACGUAGGGUGCGAGCGUUGUCCGGAAUUAUUGGGCGUAAAGAGCUCGUAGGCGGUUUGUCGCGUCUGCCGUGAAAGUCCGGGGCUCAACUCCGGAUCUGCGGUGGGUACGGGCAGACUAGAGUGAUGUAGGGGAGACUGGAAUUCCUGGUGUAGCGGUGAAAUGCGCAGAUAUCAGGAGGAACACCGAUGGCGAAGGCAGGUCUCUGGGCAUUAACUGACGCUGAGGAGCGAAAGCAUGGGGAGCGAACAGGAUUAGAUACCCUGGUAGUCCAUGCCGUAAACGUUGGGCACUAGGUGUGGGGGACAUUCCACGUUUUCCGCGCCGUAGCUAACGCAUUAAGUGCCCCGCCUGGGGAGUACGG
rnacentral:rRNA from 1 species